rnacentral:rRNA from 1 species
AUUGAACGCUAGUGGCAUGCUUAACACAUGCAAGUCGAACGGCAGCACGAGGAGCUUGCUCCUUGGUGGCGAGUGGCGGACGGGUGAGUAACGCGUAGGAAUCUGCCCUGAAGAAGGGGAUAACCUGAGGAAACUUGGGCUAAUACCGUAUAAGCUCUACGGAGUAAAGCUGGGGAUCUUUUGACCUGGCACUUUAGGAUGAGCCUGCGUCGGAUUAGCUUGUUGGUAAGGUAAUGGCUUACCAAGGCAACGAUCCGUAGCUGGUCUGAGAGGAUGAUCAGCCACACUGGGACUGAGACACGGCCCAGACUCCUACGGGAGGCAGCAGUGGGGAAUAUUGGACAAUGGGCGAAAGCCUGAUCCAGCAAUGCCACGUGUGUGAAGAAGGCCUUCGGGUUGUAAAGCACUUUCAGCGAGGAGGAAAUGCUCGAAGUUAAUAGCUUCGAGAGCUGACGUUACUCGCAGAAGAAGCACCGGCUAACUCUGUGCCAGCCGCCGCCGUAACAC